UACUGUGAAGGGUAAGCACCUAUCAGCAGCUGAGCCUCCUGAACACUCCACUGCAACAGAAGAAAUGACCUUACUGGCUGGAUCUUUAGAUGUCUGACCACCUCUAAAGGCCAAGGUGAGCAAUUCCAGAGGGGAAGGAAGUCAGACAUUCAGGAGAUGAAGAGCUGUUGAAUUCUUCUCUUGAAUACUUCUGUCUGCUUUUCUAACACAAACCCAGACUUAACAGAUGGGUCUUGAGGUCUGUUUCAUGACCUCCCAUGCUGUCAUUGAGAUCAGAAAUCCCCGCUGCAAUUACUGGUAAAUUCCUCUGUCCUCAUCUGUUACAAACGUUGACUCCCUGGGGAGAACAUGGUACCCGAGAAUCUGACUAAGGCAGACGUCGUGGCAUUCAGCUAAGAGGAUGGAUCUAAAGUGUUAUUCUUUUGGGCUGGAUGUUUUGGGGUUUUUUUGUCUUUUAUGGGUCUCCUUCCCAGCUUUAAGCAAUUAGCAUAGUAGCAAUAUGCUUAGUAACAAUAUGCUUAAAGGCUAGCAUUAUACUGUAUGGAAAAAGGCCAAUUACAAGGUUAAAAAGAAAAAAGAAGGGCAGGGGGUUGAGGUAGAUCUACUUGGAUAUGAACCUAUCAAAAAAUUGUACAAAAUGCAGAAUGCUGCAAGCCCCAGGAAGAGUGAGGCGGCAGCUCCUGAUGUAACACUGAGUGGCUCUGCCUCUGCUUUUGCAAUUGCAGCCUGCCUUACAUUAUUCCUCCUCACCCUGACUACGUUUCCCUGUAUUUCUCCGAUUUUCUGAAGAAGCAGUUGUUGUGCACUGUGGAGAAGGUUGAAUGCUUAACUGAAAUAAUGGAAAAUUAGUUUUUAAGGAGAGUAAAUAAGACAGAAUAGGACCUGUAAGGAUAACAAGCUGGCAAUAAUUCAGUGUAGAUUUCCUGUUCUUCUCCUGUUUAUUAAAUAUUCUUAUUGACUUCUGCUUCUCAGUA